AGCGAAUACAGCGGUGGAUGCUGGUGUUGUAGUAGUGCCCUGGGGAGCACUGGACUGUAGGCAAGGGAGAAGGGCAGGAAUCAAGAUGGUAGGCAGGUGGGAGUUACGGGGCAUGGGAUGGACAGGAUACAUUCAUCCUGGAGAAUCAGGAGAUCAGAUACAUCAAAGUUCUUUUCUAGGGUCUCAAUCUUUCCCAGUCAUGCCAGAAUUUAAGCCCACGGAAAAACAGAGUUUACAGAGUGGUUGGCUACAGUGCCAAUCCUUUUCUUUCAGACGCUGAGCACAGUGCCAAACCUAUAUAGAAACUCAUUUGGGAUAUGGAGGAGAAUAUGCCACCAGUUCUCCAAAGUGGAGGGCGGAUGCAGACAUGGUGCAUGCAUCCAGGGAUUGCCCAUAGCCACAAGCCAACACAAGGACCUGUUCAAUUGGAGGGUGAAGAGUUCUUCCCAGCAGGAAACCUCUCAACUCUGGCUGGCUGACCUGCUGCCCUAGCCUCCCCCCUCCUCUCGCAGCUGUUGGGCCAAAAGACACAAAGAACGAGCCCAGUCCUCCUCGUCCCCACUCCUUGUGACCAGGGGAUAUGGACCUAAUGAAUCAUCAUUUUCAGUAUGGCUACCCUGCCUUUUUCCUCCACCCUUUCCCCCCAUUCUCCCUCAGACCUGGCUAAUUAAAAGGAAGGGAAACAGAAUGCAUAAUGUGGGUAACUAUACUGUAAUAACAGUUAACACAAAGUGUUUCCAUUUGCCAAGCACUGUUCUAAGUACUUUUUAUGUAAUCACUCUUUUAAUCACAACACAGUAUGAGGCGAGCACUAUGGAAAACUGAGGCACAGAGACAUUAAGUGACUUGUCCAGGAUCACAGAGCUAGUAGGAGACAGGGCUGGGAUCUGAACCCAGCUUCAGUCCUCCUAACUAGUAUCCUACUCUCCCUUUGACCAGUACAGCCUUUCGAGGGGUAGACAUCAUUUCCCCAGAGCCCACUGGGAAGGUCUGAGGAAUGUGGGGUAAGAAGGUUAUGGAACACACCUGUGACCUCAUGCACACACACAGUCAGGGCUCAAAUAUCCUUCCAGACCCAGGAGCAAAUGUGAAUCGCAUGUCCAUUAACUAAGAGGGUUAGGGACCCAUGGGGGAUAGGAAUGAGAGUAGGGAAACAAGGUGGGGUAGGGGAAGGGGGCACUAAGGAACUGGCUGGACUUCUCUGUCCCUUGAACUGAGAUGAAACAGGCAGAUAGGAGACAACCCUUAGCUAUGUCCUGGGUUCUUCAUAAGAAGGAGGUUGAGGAGGUGUCAUCCCCUAAUAGGCACCCUAUCUCUGGUCCCAACCUCAGCCCCUUACCAAAGGUCACUCUGCUUCUGUCCUCUCAAAGUCCUUACCU
rnacentral:lncRNA from 1 species